AGUCAAGAGGAUAUUAACAACAAUCGUCCUAUCAGAGAAGCACUUGCUUAUGAGGAGCAGUUUUUCCGUGAUUAUCAUAUUCUGGAACAGCAUAUUCGAAAUGUUCUCCCCACUUUGAAGACCGAUUUAACUUCUCAGUUGGUUGCUGCUGAAAAAGAGUUACAUGCUUAUGGAGAGGCUUUGGAAUCAAAAGGAGAAAGAGGAGCGAUGCUGUUGAAUAUUCUGACAAAAUACUCUGAAGCAUUUUCUUCAGAGGUGGAUGGUAAAAGUCAAGCAAUGACCACUAAAGAAUUGUCAGGGGGAGCGCGGAUUCACCACAUAUUUCAGUCAAUUUUU
rnacentral:misc_RNA from 1 species